UACGUAGGGUGCAAGCGUUAAUCGGAAUUACUGGGCGUAAAGCGUGCGCAGGCGGUUUUGUAAGUUUGUCGUGAAAGCCCCGGGCUCAACCUGGGAAUUGCGAUGAAGACUGCAAGGCUUGAAUCUGGCAGAGGGGGGGUAGAAUUCCACGUGUAGCAGUGAAAUGCGUAGAGAUGUGGAGGAACACCGAUGGCGAAGGCAGCCCCCUGGGCCGGCCCUGACACUGAGACGCGAAGGCGUGGGGAGCGAACGGG
rnacentral:rRNA from 1 species